UGACAUAAUACUUUCGUUUGAAUAUAAAAUAAUAGAUAAUGAGAUGAUGUUCUAUCGUAAUAAACAAAUUUUGAGUCCAUUUUAACUAAUAUCGUACUAAAAGUUGGUGUCCGUUUUGCAUGAAUCCAUUCUGAAUUUUGUAGGCACCUAUCUCAUAUUAUAGAAUUAUGCAUAACUUAACAAAGGAAGAGUUUUAUCGGGCCACAAGAAAACGAAAAGAUGCACCAGAUAAAAUAUCAAUCUUCAUCAAAUUGAAGUAGUAGAAGUAUGAUUCUUUUAUGAAGAUAAUUUGCUACCACCACUCACUCUUUUCACUCUUUUCUUGGCUAUUACGUUUUAAUGAUCUCAAUAUUUUAUUUUACAUUAUAAGUAAUCAUGGAUGAAAAAUAUAUUUAUAAUAAUAAUAUAUUUUACUCAGGAACCACCACCAGGAGGUUUACUUAAGGAAUUCAUAAUUCCACCAAAAAGACAAUGGUACCAGUAACAUGAACAUAUAUAUAAAGCUUUACAAAUGUAUCAACAUGUCACAAAAACAUACCUCUUAGCAUACUAACCGAAACCUGCUCUGACCACAAGUCAAUCAAAAAACCCGCCUAAAGGUAAGGUUAAUGCGUGUGGCUUCAGCUUUGGGUAUAGCCUCUCAUCACCAAAAGGGAUCCAUGUUUAAGUCUAAACGUAUGCUGAUCAGCAUCAUGGCUACCCUUCUUUAAUCUCUUGCUGGCAGGUUCAUCACUUCCAUCUGAAGAUCCACAACAAAUGAUAACAAGUUCAUGCACAUCCACAUAAAAAUCCACUACUAUUGUAUUAACAUAUACAGGAAGAAAUACAGGAGACUCUGCAAGUGUAAUCAUAACUCUAACAACAAAAGAAAUCAUACCGCAAGAUUUUUUACAUGGCUUCUUCUUCAGAACAAAGUCACGUUCACAUCCCAAACUUAGAGACGCAAUUUCAGGUGUUGGUCCAUAAAGCUUCUCAUCAUCAGAAUGCCAACCAACAUAGUCAUUACCACCGUUGUACCUAUUUAAGAGUAAGCUAUUAAAACUACUCAGGAAGAGCUUUGUGGACCUUCAGAAGUAAGUAGAAAGACACAUUAAGUAACACAUCAAACCUAUAUAAAAAAAAUGAACAUUUGUUACACUAACUGCCUAAGAACAGGGGCGUAUUUUCAAACUAGAUUGAUGAUUAAUAGCUUCAUUUUUUUAUUCUAAAGGGUAAACGACAAAAGAUGAAAUUCGUGUGGAAUCCCACUUUCCAGGUUGGGUAGAAUUUGAAAGAAAUGUGGGAACGAUAUGAACCUGAAGGAAGGAUUUUCCGAAGACGCGAAUGGUGGGUCUGGUCCAUGGAAUGUGUUUGUCGAGAUAUUGGAACCAUUUCCAUGACUGAUCGGAGGGUAUUAACCGCUGAAUGUAUACAACGUCGCUUCCAUUUCCGAGAUCCACCGUUUCCCUUUUCACACUCUCCUUAGUAUCAAACAAUCUUCAAUCACAAGUCCCAUUGUUGAUCUUAAACUUGUGUAGCUCAGACUCUAAAGUCUUGACAAUCUCAGCUUUCUCAGCAGGGGGUUCAGGAAAAUCUACAUGGAAUGAUCCCUGCUUGAUUGGUUCAACAGGUUCUUGGAUUCUGGAUUCCUCCUUUAUGUGAUUGUAGAGCUUCUGAUGGAAAGGAUGAUCCAAGGAAUAGCAGUUUUCACUUCCAUUUCCAUUCUCUGAAUGCCUGGAUGAUCAAGAGCCUUAUCUUCUACAGAAAUGUGGCAGCGAUGGCACUUUUCUUCUUGUCCUCUCUUGUAGAAGUGGCUUCACAACCUGCCAAUGCAAGUCUUAAUAAGCAUUAUCCCUAGGUGCAAAACUUAAACUAGUAUAAUGAAUAAAAAUAUCAUACAGAAAACCAAGUCACAAGGAAACCUUCCAACAUGCUGAAAAUAUGUAUGGCACAUUUACAAUGUAAUAAGUAUUUGUUUUCUAAGGGUAGUUCAGAUCAUCAAUGGAUGAUAUUAUUGUUAACAACUGCAUCAGCAAUGAAAGACAACUCAGCGAUAUUGGAAAAUAUUUAAAAACAAAGGCAAAAAGUUGACCAACUCUACUGCUUUAUGCAUUUAUGCACAAAGUAAUAACAAAAAUAGUUUAAUCUAAACUCAAUCUUGCAGUGCAACUUUGAGUAAGUCCAUUACUUCCGGAUAUGCUCUAGUUUACUGAACAUCACAUGUAAAUAGUAAUCUACGAACACAAAUCUCUUAACCGUACCGACUCUUAUGGUUGCAUUACCAUUUAUACAAACCUGCAUGAUUAUUUUCCUAACAUUAUAAUGUAUUAUGAAUUCAUUCAAUUCCCAAUUGUACUAACCCUGCUGGACCAGGUAGCUGUAUCAAUUAGAAUGUACCUUGAUCUGAUUCAGGACUGACAACUUCAGACCAGUCAUAUCCAAAACUUUUACACAUGUGGUAAUAGGCUGCCCAUGCUUCUUUGAUGCAGAAGGCUACAAGCACAUACGGGUCAAAACAAACAAAAGGGCAGAAUCUAAAUUAGCAGGUUAAUUAAAAAAUUAAGAAUCUAAGAGGACUCCGAAGUGAAAUGCCCACCAAUAUUACACGAUCACGAUAUUCGUUAAUUUGAAUAUGAGACUGCACAUAAUAAUGGACCUGCAAUCAUACAAGCAUGCAAAAUAGUGUUAGAAUUAGAAGAGAUAAGAACACAAGGUUUUUAAGAAAAAGAAAUAGAUAGUGCUCUAAAGUCCAAACAUAGCCAUUAAAAAUGCUUACAGAUGCUUUGUCAAAUGAGCUAAGCCCAACACCAAUUGCAAAGACAGGAAGACCCUGGAAAGUAUGGCAGGCAGAACAAGCAUUAAAAUUGGCAUGAGAUAUAUUAAGCAAGUUAAUGACAAUAAAAAUAUGUAUUUAGAUAACAAUCAAGCACAACUAAGAUUAUAUGUACUGAGAAAAGGUUGUGUUUGAAGAGCACCUCACCUCUCUUGAGUACCCAGACAAACCUAUAAGUUGUGAAUCACGAAUGCCUCGGUAAAAAUCAGUAGGAAUUAUAGGUUUCUGAAAGAAUGAAACAGCAUCCAGGUUUAACAUGCAAGAACUCAUAGUCUUGUGCAAUAAGUAUACAUUUUAAUAAGAUUUUGUCAAAAAAUACAUAAAGGCCCACGGCGAGAACAUCUCUGAAUCACAGACAAACUCCAAACUAAAAAAAUAUGAACUACCAAAAAAUGUCCAAACAAUAAUAUACAAGGAUUGGUGGAAUCUAGACUUACCGAUAAUAUGUUGUCAAUCUCAUUUUGCACUCUCCAGUUUAAACAAUCGAUUAUCUGAAUACAGGCAUUUACAACUAGAUUAGUUGGAUAAUAACAGCCAAUUUCCAACAAUAAACCAAUAUUGCUAAACAACCAUUGCCACAUCGCUAUAACAUGGCUCUUCCACUGCACAUGUCUUACCAUUUUAUGCGCCUUGGUAACAUUCCACUCCCUUGCUUUUAGAAAUCUCAUUAGGGUUUCGGUGACACAUCCUUGAUGAACAUUCUGCAAAGAGCUGCAAUUAAAUUCCAAAGGGGAUAGAGUGUUUUUCAAGUGAAAAACACUUGACCUUAAGCAGUUGCAAUAAGUUGCUAAGAGAUCACUAGAUUACACCAAACUCCAUCAUAAUUAGAAUAGGUAGAUAAUCGCACGCAAUUGAUUAAAUUAGCAGCCAUCCAGAAAUAGAAAGUUCUUAUUUCUAACUACAUAUAUGUCAACACACUUAAAUAAUAGGAGGUGUGAACCAUACGAAAUGAUUGUCCCCUUUCAACCAAGUUAACAUAGAGAGUUGAAGAAAAACACAGAAGUACAACAUUGAUUGACCUUCACACUUGAAAUCAGAUCUCAUCUCCCUCCCCCUUUCUUUAGCUAAAUCAUCACUACCAGAGAAAAGCCUUAAACGGGAGAGAAGGAAUGUAGAAGAGCCAAUUAGUCAACAGCAUCCAUGAAACACAUAGAAGCAGCAAUCACCAAAAUUUCAGGGUUCAAAAGGCCACAGUAAACAAAAUCCAUUGAACCACCACAUGCAAUUUACCGAGGUCAGACACACAAAAAAAAGAGAGAUCAGGGUCAGCACGCAGAUGUUGAAAACAAACAGACAUCCAAGAAACAAAAACAGAAGAAAAAAAUUAAAAUGUUAAAAUCAUAUGGGAAUGAGUAACCAAAAUGGUCACCUGAAAAGUUCUGAGCAGUGACUCCUCCUCAACUAGCAUCAUUGGAAAGAAACAAUUCAAUAAAAGGAAAAAAGAAAAGAGAGAGGGGGGAGAGAGAAAAGAAAAAUAGAGAAAGAUGGAAAAAAAAAAGAGAGAAGAUGUGAUAAAGGUAAGACCUUGAUCCAUGAGAGCUUGAAGCUUGUUGAGGGCAUCCUCAGAAACAACAAGGCUCAUUUUUUUUGUGUUGGUGAGAGAAUGAAGAGAAGCAAAAGCCCAGCAGAGGAAAGAAGAGAAGAAAAAAGGAGUAUUUGUUUGGUAGUUUUUGUAGCUUGUGCUUCACUCUCUCACUAUCUAGAGUGUUUGCAUUGCUUGACUGUUACAGAUACAGUACUGCACACCAAAGUUUGAUGUUAUAUGCAGUCAUUCUACUUAAUGUACAGCAAGUGACUCAGAGGUAGAUAGUUGCAUAGAUAGAUAUACCCAAGAUUCACCUCAUUCACCUCUCUCUCUCUCUCUUCCUUUUCUUUAUUUUGCAUUCUAAUAAUUUGGUUGGAUGUCUUUUUCAAUAUUAUUUUUAAUAAAAUCUGUAGAAACUUUUUUUCAUUCUCAAUUAUUAAAAAUAUAAUAAAUCAUCUUAAUUAAAAUAAAAUUGUAAACUAAGUUUAUGUUAUGUUCUUUAUUUUUAUCUUAAUUCAAAUUAUAUUUUUUAAUUGUAAAUGUAAGAAUAUAACUAGUAAUCCCAAAUCAAGAUUGUCUCCAAACAUGUAGAAGUGCACCAUAAUAAUAAAUUAAUUGUAUUCAAAAUAAUAUAUUACAGAAAAUCUAAAAUUGUGUUGAUAGAAUUUUUCCCACUUCACAUUAAUCUUUUUAUGUUUUAAUUUAAAUCAAACAAAAUUGUGUUUUAAACUAUAUUAUUCGAAUGUAGAUUACUCAGUUAAGAAAAAAUAAGUUUUAAUGUACAAUAAUAGUUAUAAGACUUUUUUGGGUAGACAUAAUAAUUAUAAGAUUUUACUUCAAAAUAAACCACAAGGAGGACCUAGCUUAAUUAAAAAAAAAUUAAUCGACUGGUCCCAUUGAAAUUUGUCCAUAUGUAAUGCAGAGAAGAAUUAAUGGUAAAGUAAACAAACAUUAUUCUUUCUUCUUCAUAAAUGCAAGGAACUUUUACAUCAAGAACAAUGUUAUCAACAAAUAUAAUUUCUUUUUCUUUAUAGUUCAGUAUUCAACUUAAACUACUUUUUAACACACGAUAUAUAUAGAUAUAAAGUGAAAAUAAAAAAGUUGAACUUGUUUAAUUUGAAAGAAAAAAAACUUAUAUUACUAAAAGUAAUUUUUUUAUUUUUUUACAUAAUUUAUUAUUUAAAUUAUAUAAAACUGGUUUAACAUUAAUGAAAUAACAUCCUACUCCAUAUUAAAAAUUAUUUUCUUACGUCAAUAAAACUAAUAAGUAAUAAUUUUUUUAUUAUAAAUAGUUAAAAUUUAGAUAAAAAUCAAUUUUGUGUUUAGAAAAUGAAAAAUAAAUUUAACUCUAAUGUAAUCGAUUAUUAUUAAUGUUGAGUAGUUGAGUUGUUUUGUUACUAUUUUUUUUCAAAGAUUUAGCUCAGUGUUCUGAAUUAUAUAUAAUCUAUAUAAUUUGUGAAUGCAUCGAAAAUAAUUUAUAUUUAACUUAUAUAAUUUAUAUUUAGCUUAGAAGGAUUUGUGAUGACAUGAUAAUCUGAAAAAAAAAGGUUGUCAAAUAAAAAAUAUCCUAAGAUUCCAACAAGCCAUGAUGGAUAUAACAUUCCACACUAAAAUAUGAGUUGGAAAAAUAUUGAGGUUGACAAUUCUUUGUACGGAAAGGUGGCUACUCCUCUUUUUUUUAGAGCCCUUGUCUAGACUGGAGAUGAUACUGUAGCCGCAUAUGGAUGUAGGGUGUUAUCCUGUUUGGAUCUGGUAAUGAUCGAAAAUAAAGGUGAGAGAAAAGUUGAGCCAAAUAAAAAAGUAUUCAGAAGUGAAGAAAAAGAAGAGAGGGAAGGAGUGAGUGACACAUAGGAUAUGUCUCAAUUUUGAGUAAACCUUUGCAUCUGAAUCCAUUAUACAAGUGUAGUAACUUUUUAUUACUAUAUGCUUGUAACCAACAAAGAGGUUGAGUCUUAGUUAAAGAAAUCAAAUAGAAAAAAAUGAGUGAAGUUAUUCUAUAUAACAUAUAUAAUAUAAUAUAACAUAAAUUUUUAAAAAAUAAAACAUAAACAAGAAUACUUUGAUUUUGAUUUCCGUCCAAAAUGAAAGAAAUUAUAUAACAUUAAUCAGACAGACCAUAUAAUUUUUAUCACAAAUUUCAGUAUAUUUAUGAGUGAUAUUACGAAGACUCAUCGAAGCAUGGAAAAAGUCAACAUUGUCGCUCUCAGACUCUUCGGUAGAACAACACAAGUGAUAAUGUCGGUGAUUUGACAGUCACGAGGGUACUAUUAUUAUGACAUCAUUUAUUCCAACUAUUCCAACUGGGAAAUCAUAGUAAUAUAUAUAUAUAUAUAUAUAUUUCUGCUCCAACCUUUUAUCAUGUCUUCCUUUCUCUCUAUAUUAACUUACGUGUAGAGGAGGAGAGAAAUAAUUGUAAUACAUGCUAUUAGUGGAUACACUUUCACACAAAAUAUUAUUUCUUAGUAAAAAAAAAUACCUAAUUAAUUUAAGUUAUUAAUCUUGAAAUAAAGAAAAUGGUGAAAUUAAGAGUAAUUAUUAUAUAUAUUGGUUCACUUAGUUUUUUGUUAUUUUGAAUUUUUGGCUGUGCGUAAGUUUUAAAGAGAUCUUAAAUAAGUAUACUUUACAAUGAAUUUAAUCAAUUUAUAUGAAAAAGAACUUCAUCAAAAUGUCAUUAUAUUAAUUUUCUUACUACGAGUUUUCUUGAAUUCAUCCGUCGAGUUACAUAGUUAUAGUUUACCUCACAAAUUUUUAAACCAGAUCAAACAUAAUUGAUCCACUGUAUACAGAUGAAAUUGAUUUUUAUCAAAACGAGAUAAAGUUUUCUGUACUUCUCACAAUAAUUUAGAAAAAGUUCUUAAUUAUUAACAUUUUAAUAAAGAUAAAUAAACAUGUAAAUAAUUAAUAAAAGAUAUUAUUAAAUUUUUACUAUAUAAAUAAAAUAACUAUUUUAUAAGUUUAUAAUUUUUAUUUUUAAAGUUUUAAAUUUUCAAAUUAUUUUAAAGAGAUAUGAGGUAUACUUGAAAAUUACGAAUCUCACAAAUUAUAAAUUUUACAAAUAAAUAAAUUUAUUAAAUUAAUAAAAUUUAUUAUUGAUAAUAAUAAUAAUAAUGAUAAUAUAUGACUUUUAAUACUCAAAAUUUUAUUUUAUUCUGAGAAAAAAAUAGAUUUUUUCAUAAUGCUGUGUAUAAAUGUUUUUUUUUUACAGAAUCAUAACAUAAAAAUUUUCGAAAACAUUAGUUAUUAAAUCUGUUAUUUUUCUUAAAUAUAGAAAAUAUGAAAAUUUCAAUUUCAAUUUUAUUGAAAAAUUAAUUUUUUUUCUUUCUAUCAAAUGUUUGUCUCGUAUAAAUUGAGCAAAUAAAGUGUAAUAUCUAAAAAAAAUAUUUAUUAUCAAUUAAAAAUAUCAAAGUUUUAAUUAUAUUAUUUAAUUUUUUAAUUUAAGUGUAAUAUAUUGUUAUAUUAUUAAAAUAAGGUUAUCAGAGUGAUUUUUUAAGAGGUCAAAGUAUAAUUUCUUAAAAUGAAAAUCAGAAAAAAAAGAGUAAAGUUUGAUAAUAACAUAUAUAUGAUAUGACAUAAUAUAUAUAUAUAUAUAAAUAUAAAACAUAGAUAUAAAAUUUAAUAAAUGUUUUAGGAAGGAGAAUCUUUUGGUAAGUAAAGUUUGGAACAUCUGUUUUAUUUGUCCAUAUAAUAAACUACAAAGACUCUAACUAUUCAUUUUCUUUCUCUUCUUCAUUUGCCUCCCCUUAUCUUUCACAUAUUUUAAUAUCUUGUAUUUACUCCUUUUUGAAAAGUCAAAUUAGGCUGCUCUGAGCCUUUUCCUGGAAGAUGUCAAAAUUAUUAAGAAACCAAUAAACUAUUGUUUAAUAUUAGGCAAUCUUGUGAAAAUCAUAGUAAUAUAAACACCCAUAUCCUGGUAUGAAGUUGGAGGCUUGCACCAACACCUCUUGAAUCUUGAAGCAGCGAAACAAGCCACAAUGAUUUUGAAAUUGGUGAUCCAUUUCAUCAUUUUGGUAAUGCGGGAGGUAUCUGCAUAUCCUCCAAGAAUUGGUAGGACACGUGUAGAAAAGCCUGGCUGUGAAUGGCAAUGUGGAGAUGUUUCAAUUCCCUUUCCGUUUGGAAUGAAGAGUUCGAAGUGCUAUGCAGGGAAAUGGUUUGAAAUAGAAUGCAGAAACACUUCCUCCUAUAACAAUUACAGUCACACACCUUACCUGAAGUCAAUAGGAGUGGAAGUGAUAUCCUUUGAUCUCAGAAGAGGCCUGGUUACUAUCAAUCAUCCUAUUUACCGUAGUAACUGCGGAUCCAAAGAUUCUCCGCGGGUCAACCAGUCCCUGGAAGGAAGCCCUUUCGUGUAUUCCCGUAAAUACAACAAAUUUGUGGCCGCAGGUUGUAAUAUUAUGGCUUUUUUGCAGUUAAAUGGGUCAGGUAGUGGUUGUGUCUCCAUUUGUGACGAGGACUACAAGGUGGGUGACGCUAAUUGUAAUGGGAAGUCAUGCUGUGAGAGUUCCCUGCCACUGUACCUUACACAAUACAGCACUGUAAUAAAAGCUUUAAAGGAUAAUGAAACGAGUCAUGGGUGCAGUUACGCCAUGGUUGUAGAGAAAGUUCUGAGCUACCGCUACUACUUUCCUGUGAAUGGUGUGAUGAAGGAUUUAGCUGUGGUCCCUGCAGUGCUCGAAUGGGAGAUUGUGAACAGUUUGAACCUUACACUCCCUUUAGAUCAUCUCUCCUACUGUGAUGAUACUAAUGUUACAUCUUCACUAUAUAAACGUUCAGGUCAGAGAUGUUCCUGCCGAUUCACUUUCGGUAAUCCUUACUUUGUCGGAGGUUGUAAAGGUAAAUAUAUUAUUUCCUGUUGUAUAAUUCAAGAAUUUACGACUACAAUAUUGUUUUGUUUUUUCUUAUUUUAAUCCUAAUUCUUAUAUUUUUAGUUCUUAAAUACUACUUUAUUUAUUUAUUUAUUUAAAAUUAAUAUUUUUUAGUCUAUAAAAUAUGCAUUUUUAAUAUAUAUAUAUUCAAUGUCCAUAAAAUACUUUGAAAGAGAAAAUACCCAUAACAUAAAUAUUAAAUAAUGGGAGUGUAUUCUUUGAAACAGUUCUUAUUUGCUGUUUUUCACUCCAAUCUUUUUUUAUUAAUAGACAUUGCUAUCAGCAUUUGUAUUGAAAAACAUUAUUAUAAAUAUUUUAAACUUUAUUUUUCACAGAUGAUCCUCCUCCGAUAUACAGGAAAUCGAGAAGUUCCGUAACAAUAUCCAUCAUAAAAGGUAUGUAUGAACUAUGAAGUGGUUAAUAAUUUAUAUGAUUUUUUUUUCUUAAUUAGGAGCAUUGAUUAUCUUUAUAUAUUAAAAAUAUACUAUUCACACACGACUAAAAUAAAAUAAAAAGUGCGAAAAAUCAAUAAAUUAAAAAACAUAAUAAAACACAAAAAUUAUAAUGUUAAACUUUAUUCGUUACUAUAAAAAAAAUUUCAAGUAUCGUAUAAAUCAACAUUCUUUGACAGCAUAAAUCAACAUUCUUUGACUGCAUAAAUCAACAUUCUCUUGAACUUACACUAUUUGUUAAGACGUACAUGACUUAUUCAUACCAUGUCUACUGUUUUGAAAUAAAAAAAUCGCUAGCAACCUAGCACAGAAAUAAAGCAAGAUAUAACGUAAAUAAAAUAAUAUAGUAAAUAAUUCAAUAAACCAAAUCAAACAAAAAUUAGGAAAUUUCAUGAUAUUGAAAUUAUAGAUCUGUUGUAUGUAGGACUGUUUUCUCGUUUUUUUUUACAUAAAAAUAUAUAUGUACAAACAUAAACAGUAAAAAUUCAAAUGUCACACAAUAAAAUAGGUUUGUUAAUAUAUUUAACAAUGAAAGAAAAAUGAGUUAAAAGUAACUUUUUAUUGAAUGAACAAUAUUCAAAUAAUUCAAAAAUCGACUCAAAAUAUUUGAGUAACUUGAGUUAUUCAUUAUUUUUUCUUUAUUUUAAUGUCGUUAAUUAAUAAAAUUAACUAGAAGUUUUCAAUUUCCAUUAAAUAAGAUAUAUGAAUGUGAAAUAUAUUACAUUGUUAUGGGAGCUAAUGAACUAGACCAAUAAGUCAUUGAUGUAAUGGAAAUUGAACUUCUUUUUCUUGAAAUAGGAUUUUGAACUUAAAUUUUAUUGAUAGAAAAAAAUAUAGUGGGAAAGGAAAUCUAUUGGAAAGUAAUGAUUCACGUUCUUUGUAAAAUAUUAGUUAUCAUUAAAGUUGGUGAAUAUUUUCUACCAGUAAUAUAUUUAAAUUAAAGGUAAAUAGUAUCCCAGUAAUUAUAUUAUUAUAUAAGUAUGAUUUAAAUUUGAAUAAAAAAAAUAAAAUUUAUAAAAUUUAAUAUAUUUUUGUGGAUAUGAAUUAAGCUGUAAAUUUUGUGGGAUAAAUGUGGUUUGUAAAAAUUAAAGUGAAUUUAAGAUGUAAAUUAUUAUAGUACAUGUUUGUAUAAAAUAAAAGCUAUUUUUUAUCGAAUCUCUUCGCAUACCUAGUUUUACUUGUGUGUCUUGGCAAUGUUAAUCCAUACCUAUGAUGAUCACUAAUAUACAUCAAUAUUAUAGUUAAAAAAAUAUAGUUUUUUGUUAACUUGAACUGUGUAUACUUUUUAAAUUAAAAUAUAGAUAUUUUGUUAUCAUACUAACCAAUUUUGGCAACAUCCUACUUUCAUUACAAGAAAAUUACUAUAACCUUAACUUGGGCAGUGGAUUCAGACUUGAUAUACUUCUCCACAUUUGCAUAUGCCCUUUUCAUAUUUGGUAGAUACAUUAAAUAACUCCACACAUACAUACUGUUUUAUAAUAUCUUAUUUAAAUACUCUUAUGUGCUUAUACAUAUACAUAUAUAUAUAUAUAAGGUUUUCCAAUGUUGGAAAUUUGUUUUAGUUUAAUCUUAAUUGUUAGACUUUCUAAAUGCUCAAAGUUGCGUAUAAGUGAAAAAGACUUAUUUUAAUGUAUUGAUGUGGUAAACUGUGUAGGAGUUUCUAUAAGCUUCGGAUCCAUCAUUUUACUCAUUAUUUUAUGGCGAGUGUUGAAGGCUACAAAAAAAACUAUAGUGGGAAAAUACAGAAAAAGAAUCUUCAAAAGAAAUGGAGGAUUAUUGUUAAAACAAAGAUUGUCUUCUGGUGAAGUUAAUGGGGAUAAAGUUAAACUUUUCAGCUUAAAGGAGUUGGAGAAGGCUACCGAUAACUUCAACACGAAUAGAGUAAUUGGAAAAGGAGGUCAAGCUACUGUUUACAAAGGCAUGUUGAUUAAUGGAAUAAUUAUUGCAGUGAAAAAAUUUAAGGUCCAAGGUAAAAUAGAAGAAUUCAUCAAUGAAUUUGUCAUUUUGUCACAAAUUAACCACAGAAACGUGGUCAAGUUGUUAGGAAGUUGUUUGGAGACUAAAAUUCCUUUGCUUGUUUAUGAAUUCAUUCCUAAUGGUAACCUUUUUGAGUACUUGCAUCAACAAAAUGAAGAUUUGCCAAUGACAUGGGACAUUCGUUUGAGAAUUGCCACUGAGGUUGCUGGAGCUUUGUUUUACUUGCACUCUGCUGCUUCUCAGCCUAUUUAUCAUAAAGAUAUCAAGUCAACAAAUAUACUUUUGGAUGAAAAGUAUAGAGCAAAAGUAGCAGACUUUGGUACAUCUAGAAUGAUUUCCAGUGAUGUUACUCACCUUACUACAGUAGUUCAAGGAACAUUUGGAUACUUGGACCCUGAAUAUUUUCAAACUAGUCAAUUCACAGAAAAAAGUGACGUCUACAGCUUUGGAGUAGUUCUUGUUGAACUCUUAACAGGGAAAAAGCCAAUAACCCACACAAGUUCAGAGGAAGCCAAAAGUUUAGCUUCAUAUUUCAUCAUGUGCGUGGAGAAAGAUUGUGUAUUUGAUAUUAUUGAUGAAAGGGUGAUGAAGGAAGGGGAGAAAAAUCAUAUCAUGGAAGUUGUCAAUCUUGCAAAUAGAUGUUUAGAGCUGAAUGGAAAGAGACGACCAACUAUGAAGGAAGUCACAUUAGAAUUAGAAAGUAUUCGAAAAUUGGAAGGAAAGUCAAAUGCACAAGAAAGACAUAAUGAACUUGUUAGAAGUGAAGACUAUCAAUCUUGGGAUGAUUACUCUACUAUCUUAGAAAUAAGGUCAGCUUUUGAUCUAAGUAACAGAACACCAAACUUGGAAGAUAUUCAUAUUCGUACCAUAUAACGGGUAAGUAUUCUUAAUUUUUGUGUUAAAUAAAAUUAUUUUGGUUAACUAAUAAGUAUAUAACCUUCAAUAAAAUUUUGAAGGUUAUACUUGAACAUUGUGAUUAUACGUUAUCAAAUGAUUAUUGAUAAGUUUUCCUAUGUAUAUUAGAUUGUAUAUGAUGUAUACCACGAUUGCACAAAUGCACUUAUGUUUGCGGCUGUUGUAUUCAUUGGUCACAUGGUGAGGCUAUUGAGUUCAUGAAGGUCUGCAGAGGAGUUGAGGGCAUUUGACUCUUUUAUUAUGAAGACUAUCACAUAGAAUAUACUCUUAGUGGUUGUGGUUUCCCAAUGUCUUUUUCAGUAUGGAUGGUGUUGCUUAUUCUUUUGGGUAAAAGUAUGCAGUGAACAUUCCUAGCAACAAUUUUGUGGCAUCAGCUUGUGUUCUAUAGUCACAUCACACCUACUCAUUUCUCUUUGUAGCUGUAAGGAGGAUGUUUCCUUCCUUGUUGUAGUUUAUAAGUUAAGCUAGUUAAGAUAGUGGUAUGCAUAAGAGAUUUUGGUUUUCUUUUGUUAUAUUUCUUUUUAAUGUAGAAUUAUGAUAUAUUGACAACUUAUUAUCUUUUAUAAUAAUAUAUUUGUGAAAUUACAUUAUGCUUUUCAUUAUUAUAUAAUUCCUGUGUUUGUUGUGUUUGUUGGAAGAGGAAAGACACAUUAAAUUGUUGAUUUAUUCUUGUAGAUGGAGAGGAAAGGUUUGUGGCCAAAAGAAGUGAUUGUGUGAUAGUUGUUCUUGUAAAUUGUGUUGAUUUAAGGGACAUAGAGUUUGGUAGAAGUGAUCAUGGAUUCAUAAAGACUUCAAGCCACUUACGAUUUUAUAUACCAAGGAAAAAAAAACUCUUAAACACAAAUCAUGUGUAUAAGACGAAUCAUUAAUUGAUACAAUCAAACUCAAUCAUCAGAUGAUAUAAUCAAACAAAUCCAUCAUCAUAUAGUAUAUCAGUCGAAACAUCACAUAAUAAAUUAAUUUGAAUCAUGACAUUAUACUUUAGUUUGAACAUAAAAUAAUACAUAAUGAGAUGAUGUUCUAUCGUAGAUUCGUAAUAAACAAAUUGAAUCCAUUUUUAACUAAUAUCGUACUAAAAGUUGGUGUCCGUUUUGAAUCGCAUGAAUCCAUUCUGCAUUUUGUAGGCACCUAUCUCAUAUAAUAGAAUUAUGCAUAACUUAACAAAAGAAGAGUUUUAUCGGGCCACAAAAAAACGAAAAGAUGAACCAGAUAAAAUAUCAAUCUUCAUCAAAUUGAAGUAGUAGAUAUCAAGUUUAUCACAACUGAAAUUAAUGAUAGCAUAUCUAUUUGGAUAUAUAUAGAAGUAUGAUUCUUUUAUGAAGAUAAUUUGCUACCACCACUCACUCUUUUCACUCUUUUCUUGGCUAUUACGUUUUAAUGAUCUCAAUAUUUUAUUUUACAUUAUAAGUAAUCAUGGAUGAAAAAUAUAUUUAUAAUAAUAAUAUAUUUUACNNNNNNNNNNNNNNNNNNNNNNNNNNNNNNNNNNNNNNNNNNNNNNNNNNNNNNNNNNNNNNNNNNNNNNNNNNNNNNNNNNNNNNNNNNNNNNNNNNNNNNNNNNNNNNNNNNNNNNNNNNNNNNNNNNGCAUACUAACCGAAACCUGCUCUGACCACAAGUCAAUCAAAAAACCCGCCUAAAGGUAAGGUUAAUGCGUGUGGCUUCAGCUUUCGUACGCUUGGGCACAGAGUGAAUCCAAUCUCUUUGGGUAUAGCCUCUCAUCACCAAAAGGGAUCCAUGUUUAAGUCUAAACGUAUGCUGAUCGUCAUGGCUACCCUUCUUUAAUCUCUUGCUGGCAGGUUCAUCACUUCCAUCUGAAGAUCCACAACAAAUGAUAACAAGUUCAUGCACAUCCACAUAAAAAUCCACUACUAUUGUAUUAACAUAUACAGGAAGAAAUACAGGAGACUCUGCAAAUGUAAUCACAACUCUAACAACAAAAGAAAUUAUACCGCAAGAUUUUUUACAUGGCUUCUUCUUCAGAACAAAGUCACGUUCACAUCCAAAAGUUAGAGACGCAAUUUCAGGUGUUGGUCCAUAAAGCUUCUCAUCGUCAGAAUGCCAACCAACAUAGUCAUUACCACCAUUGUACCUAUUUAAGAGUAAGCUAUUAAAACUACUCCCAGGAAGAGCUUUAUGGACCUUCAGAAGUAAGUAGAAAGAAAUAUUAAGAAACACAACAAAACAUGGGCAAAAAAGACAUUAGUCAGAUAUAUUGUCAUUAAUAGCAGAAUUGAUGAGGAACAAUGUUGAUUGAGAAACAUUCUUACAGCAUCCAAUAUGUCUUUAAGUGGUGGAUAAUCAUCCCAAGAAUAUGCAUGCGGCUGAUAUCCACUGUAAGUCAACUCAGUCAAACCUGGAGUUGCAACAUAACAUGUGUCUCGAGGCUAUAGAGAAUUACAUUAAAUGGCAUUAGCAUCUUUUGGUUCAUCUAUCCUAUCCAUAUACAAGAGAGUAAUCUGUAAGUUAUGAUUCAUCUUAUGUUAGGACUUAAGCACAAGUGGAGAACCCAACCCAAUAAACUAGUUCCUUAGAAGGAAGAGUCUACCACAUCAAAUAGUUCAUCCUACUCAUAUGAGACUCCUAACAUCUUAUGUCAGAAUUGUGUGGUUAUUAUUCUCUUCACUCCUCGGUUACAUGUACGAGGGAAUUCAUUGGUUGAAGACCCUGCUCAGUAAUUUUUAAAGAAAUUUUUAAAAGGAAAAGAUUUUGAAACUAUAAUACCAAAUCAGAAAAUCAAGCCUAUAUAAAAAAAAUGAACAUUUGUUACACUAACUGCCUAAGAACAGGGGUGUAUUUUCAAACUAGAUUGAUGGUUAAUAGCCUCACUUUUUUAUUCUAAAGGGUAAACGAGAAAAGAUGAAAUUGGUGUGGAAUCCCACGUUCCAGGAUGGGUAGAAUUUGAAGGAAAUGUGGGAACGAUAUGAACCUGAAGGAAGGAUUUUCCGAAGACGCGAAUGGUGGGUCUGGUCCAUGGAAUGUGUUUGUCGAGAUAUUGGAACCAUUUCCAUGACUGAUCGGAGGGUAUUAACCGCUGAAUGUAUACAAUGUCGCUUCCAUUUCCGAGAUCCACCGUUUCCCUUUUCACACUCUCUUUAGGGUUCUCCUCCGGCACCGCCUUCAACUUCAACACAUUCAUCGGUGAUCACAAAACGUUCAUAGCCUCUUCACAUUCUAAUUGAUAGAAUAGAAUUGCAAACUGUGAUCAUCCCAUAUUGUUUUUAGAUAAACUAGCGAAACACAUACGCUAAACCGCCUCUGCAUCGAAUUUUUUUUAUUAUUAAUAUAUUGUAUAUUAUUUUAUAUUUCUAUCUUUUAAAUAUAAAAUAUCACUAAAUAAAAAAAAAAUAAAAACAUUUUCGUUCAUUGAGUUUUAACCUACUAUUUUAAUAAUUAAGUUGUAGUAAAAAAUAUAUUAAACAAAUUUAAAUUUAUAACACAAUAACAUAACCAAUUUUGAGUUGUUGUUACUAAUAUAAAAUUAAAAAAGAGAAAUAUAAUAAUGAAAAGAAAAAAAAAAGAAUAAUAAGAUAAGAAACUCUGUAACAAAUUUUAAAAAAAUAUUUAUUUUUCAAUUUCUUUCUUCUUCUCUGCAAGAAUGUUCCGAAAACAUUCAUCCUCCCAUGUCCACAUGUCAAGUUAACUUUGUAACUUAAAGAAAUUAAGUCAUCAUUCUUGUUAAUCACUAAUUUUGAUUUGUUGUUACUAACAUAAAAGUAAAAAAGAGAAAUAUAAUAAUGAAAAGAAAAAAAAAGAAUAAGAUAUGAAACUCCAUAACAAACUAUCUCUCCGCAAGAAUGUCAUAUUCAGAACGCAUUCAUCCCCAUCGAUGCCCACAUCAACAAUGGUAUCAAGAUAACUCUGUACCUGUGCAGUAUUCCGUAUUCAGUGUAUGAAAAUAAAAAUGAGUAACAUUAACAAUUAAACAACCAAUAAAAGAAAACUCACUUACAGAUACUAACGUGGGAUGCGUGCUUCUUACUCUUAUCUUGGAGAAUGAAUCUUUUUAUCUAAUGGUAGUGAUAUGAACAGAAGAGAUAAAAUAAGAAAGAGGAGGAGAGAAAAAUGAUAAUAAAAAUUCUAAAUAUAAAUUCAAAUUGAAAAGAAAGUGUGAGUGAAAACUGAAGAAAUAAAGAUAUAUUUCAAAAACCUAAAUUCAAAAAUUGUUUUACGUUAAAAAAACUCUAUCCUGAUAACUGUUUUAAUAUUUACAAAAUUACAAAAUAACUAAAAAUAAUAUAUAAAAAACAGUUAUAUAUAUCAAAAACAAUCAUGGAAGCAUAGAUGUAUAUAAGAAACAGUUAUGAGGGAAUCCCGAUUAUAUAUAGGUAUAGAUAUAAUUCUAAACAUGUUUUUAUUUAUUAUUUUUUCAAUUAAUUUUAAUAUAUUAACCUUAUAAAAAAAUUACAAGGUUUAGUUUUUUAACAUACCUAAUUUUAUCCAUAUAUAAUAAAAUAAGAAACAAAAUAAACAAUAUCUAAUUAACAUAUAAACAUAUAUUACUUUUUCAUAUUUGUAUUUUAAAAAUAUAUUCUUUUUCAAAGUGAUUUAAUAUAUACACAAAACAAAAAUUUACAAUCAAAACAUAAAAACAUUUAUUUCUCUAGCUGCUCAUUGAAGAGUUUUAUCACAUGCAAUUUCAAUACUAUCAUCACGGAUUAAAGAAAACAAAUACAAAACAAAACACAGGGUAAACUAGUUAUUUUUAAGAAUUCUAAUAUAAAUUUGACAUUUAAGAACAAGCAUAAUCCAUCAAAUUCUCAUAAUUUACAUCGUCAUCAAGUGUCUAGCAUGAUAACUAUUAUUAUAAGUGAACUCCACCACAGGCAACAUCUCAUCCGAACCUCCCAGAUGAUCCAAUACACAUGUCCUCAACAGAUCUUCUAAGGAUUGGAUCGUUCUCUCAGACUACCCAUCUGUUUGAGGAUGAUAUGCAUAGUUCAUUCUCAAUUUAGUUCCCAAUGAAUCUUGUAGAGUCAGUCAAAACCGUGAAGUAAAUCUGGGAUCUCUAUCUGAAACAAUACUAGAAGACACUCCAUGCAAUCUCACAAUCUCUUUGAUGUAUAAUUGUGCCAACUUAGCCAUAGAUAUCAUUAAAUUAGAAGAAAGUGAGCAUUAUUUGUCAGUCGAUCAACUAUCACUCAGACUACAUCAUGACUCCUUACUGAUCUUGGUAAAUUAAUAACAAAAUUCAUAGCAAUGUUAUCUCAUUUUCAGUCAGGAAUAUCCAAUUGUUGCAGCAAAUCACAAGGUCUCUGAUGCUCCACCUUUGCCUUUUGACAUAUAUAGUUUUGAGAAGGUGAGAAACAUUUUCUAACUUUUUUUUCUUAUUAGUAAAAAAAUAUUAAAAAUUAUAAAGUAUGAAGAAAACUUACUAUAUAGAAAGUAACAUCUAGACAAUUUUUUUUAAUAAUUUUCAAUUUAUAAGAAAUAUAAGAAAUUAAACUAGCUUUUGUAUAACUUCUUGUUCUCUUAUUAUUUUAGAAAAUAACUUUUUCAUAGAAGUAUACGGGACAAUAUUUUUUAAACAAUUAAAAUAGAUAAUAUAAUAUUAUCAAGAGUGAUAGACUGGAUAAAAAAAUUGAUGAAACAUAUAUAAGUGCACCAUAAUAACAAAUUAAUUGUAUUCAAAAUAAUAUAUUACAAAAAAUCUAAAAAUGUGUGUAUAGAAUUUUUCAUCUCAUUUCACAUAAAUCUUUUUAUGUUUUAAUUUAAAUCAAACAAAAUUAUGUUUUUUAACUAUAUUAUUCAUGUUCUUGUAUAGAUAUUGAGGCCCAAAGAACGAUUGCUUGAUGCAUCCAUCAGUCAGUCACUCUAACCUCCAAUCUUCCUUUCCUCUAAUUCUUCAUUUCCUUCUCAUCUUGCCUUUCGGCCAAUUGGGAGCACAGACUCGAAUGGUACCUGCAAAAGGCACUCCGACGAUCAAGUCAGCAAAAGACUCGACACUCGGUUGUCAGAGCACUGUUGAUAAUGACAUACCUGAUUCUUGGAAUCUGCGCUAUUUAUAUUACCUUAAUGGGUCUUCAUUAGUGGGUCGGAUUAGGGGAUUUGACCGUGCUUAGUUUCGCACUAAGUAACUUUUAAUUACGGAUUAACUUCGCUGACUUGGUCAUUCGGGAGCACAGACUUGGAUGGUACCUGCAAAAGACACUCCGAUGAUCAAGUCAGCAAAGGACUCGACACUCGGUUGUCAGAACACUGUUGAUAAUGACAUACCUGAUUCUUGGAAUCUGCAUUAUUUAUAUUACCUUAAUGGGCCUUCAUUAAUGGGUCGGAUUAGGGGAUUUGACCACGCUUAUAGUUGCACUAAAUAACCUUUAAUUACGGAUUAACUUCGUUGACUUGGUCAACUCAUGAUUUGUCGUCAUGGGACGGUCAGUCGCACAAUACCUUGCAACUGUGGUUAACGUAAGUGGACGAUCAUGCGACUUGCGAUGUUGACCGAAUUUAGGGUUUAGAUGAUGUUAAUAUAUUUAAUUUUCUAUUUUAAACUAUUGGGCUUUGUUUGUUUGGCCCAACUUUCCUUUUCUGUUUCAGCUAGGUCUUAAUCUUUUUCUUAUAUAUACAUAAUGUAUUUUACUCUCUAAUAUACAAGUGAAUAAAAUUUUCUUUUAUAUUUAUUUUUCUCUACAAUUAGGGUUCAUCAAAACCUCUCUUUCUUCAUUACGAUUACGUGCGAUUAUGUACGCUACAUUAAAGCAUCACAUCAGACAAGGAAUAUUCAUAUUCAUUUACUGUAAUAUGGAGAUCCCACAUCGACUAGAGAUUAAAGCCUUUCAUUGUAUAUAAGUGGGUGCAAUCCUCACCUCAAUAAGCCGAUUUUAUGGGGUUGAGUUAAGCUUAAAGUUCACAUUGUAACAGAUGACCGUCCAACUCGUACCAGUACAAUUCGAAUGCAAAUUACUUACUUAAGAGAAAUUAAGUUUUAAUGUACAAUGAUAGUUAUAAGAUAUAUUUUUUUUUGGUAAACAAUAAUUAUAAGAUUUGACCUCAAAUAAACCACAAGGAGGACUUAGCUUAGUUUAAAAAAAAAUCAUCGACUGGUCCCAUUGAAAUUUGUUCAUAUGUAAUGCAGAGAAGAAAUAACGGUCAAGUAAACAAACAUUAUUCAUUCUUCUUCAUAAAUGCAAGGAAUUUUUACAUCAAGAACAAUGCUAUCAACAAAUAUAUUUUAUUUUUCUUUAAGUUAAGUAUUCAACAUUAAACUACUUUUUAACACAUAAUAUAUAUAUAUAUAUAGAUAUAAAGUGAAAAUAAAAAUUUGAAGUUGUUUAAUUUGAAAAAAAAAACUUAUAUUAAUAAAAAAACUUACAUAACUCACUAUUCAAAUUAUAUAAAAAUGGUUUAACAUUAUUCAACAUCAAAUAACAUCCUAGUCUAUAUUAAAAAAUCUUUCUUUUAUUACGUGAACAAUAUUACAAAUGUUCAGGAGAUAAAAUUUAAAUAAAAAUCAAUUUUAAGUUUAUAAAAAUGAAAAACAAAUUUAAUUAUAUUAUAAUUCACUGUUAUUAAUGUUGAGUAGUUGAGUUGUUCAUGACUAUUGUUUUUACAAAGGUUUAGCUCAGCGUUUUAAAUUAUAUAAUCUAUACAUAACUUCUAUUUAGGUUUGUGGUAAUAGAAAAAGGCAAUAUGCAAAAAGGGUUGUAAAAUACAAAAAGGACCCUUUUCCAUUGUGUAGAUGGGAAAGCUUUGGGGUACAUGCGGAAAAUGAGGAAGAUUCCAACAAACCAUGAUGGAUAUAACAUUCCACAGUAAAUAUGAUUUGGAAAACCAUUUUACCCGAAGGUGAAUAUGGUUCAACUCAGUUGAUAUUUUUUUUUCAAAAAAAGUAAAUAAAAUAAAAUUAGAUAGGGUAUCUUAGUUGUUAGAUUUAUUUUAGGAGUGUUUCAAUUUUAUACAUAAAGUAGUGACAAAAAUCAACAUGUUUAACACUAUCCAUAAGACUCAAAAUAUCUUCAAAUUAAACCUCAAAAGAAAUGCAUGGCAUCCUAUACUGAAAAAUCUACUACCUUAACCGAGUUCUAACAAUUAAUCUUUAGUUCAUACAAUACAAACAAACUUUUUUACAGCCAAAUAAACAACGCGCAAUGUUACAAAUACUAAUACAAAUUAAAUACAACCACCCACAUCACACCCAUCCAAAAUUUGAGUAAACUUGCUCAUCUGGAUUCAUUAUACAAGUUUUGUAACUUUAUCUGGAUCCAUUUAUCGCUACAUGCUUGUAACCAACAAAGAGGUUGAGUCUUAGUUAAAGAAAUAAAAUAGAAAAAAAAAUGAGUGAAGUUAGAUAAGAAAUUAUAGAACAUGAUUACCAUAUUCUUUUGCUGUAUUCUGCAUCUAAAUAAAGGUUGGAAUAUUUUUAUCAUUAAUUUUCCAAAUUCAUCUAUUCCCUCUGCUUUAAGGGUUAUUGACUCCCAUUAAAUAAAAAAACAUACACAUAACAUUCCUAAAUAAUAAUAUUUGUUUAAUUUUUUAAUUUAAAAUUCUAAUAUGUGUUAUUAUAUUAUUAAAAUGGUUUGUCAAGUGAAUGAUAUUUUUCGAAUGAACAAUGAUAUAUUGGCACCUUGCUUCACUAUACCGCAUCUAAUUAAUGAUAUAAAAAAUGGUAUUUUUGUCAUUUCGUAUAAAAAUUGAAGUUUUAGGCACAAAAAAAGUAUACUAAAGCAAGGUUAUCCAUGUAUCAUUUUUCUUUUUGAAAGAAUGUCAACAAAUUUUUUUUUCUAUUACCCUUCUUUAAUCCUCAUACUCUCUCGCUCUUCGAUACUCUAAAACUUCUUCCUUAAUUCACUAAUGUUUGGUUUGGAGUUAACUUUGAAAAAUGUACUUCGACGAUCAAGUAAGUACUCAGUAUUCAAGAUGUGAUGAUAAGAACUGAUUAAAAACAUAUCUUACUUUUAUAUGGAGAGUUUAUUUAUAAUGUUUUGGUUAUGGAUUCAUUUAAAUAAUUGGCUGAAUCUAACAUACAAAAGCAUUAACUGAUUUCAUGAAUAAUUAUUCAUGUUUUUUCAGGACAGAAAGUUUCUGUAACUACUUUUAACAAGUAUUUAAUUUUAACUGUUUUAAUUAUAUAUUAAACUUUAACUAGUAUUUAAUUUUAACUGUUUUAAUUAUAUAUUAAACUUUAACUAGUAUUUAAUUUUAACUGUUUUAAUUAUAUAUUAAUUCGAUCAAGAGAGUGAUAUUAAGAGUACUCACUGAAGCAUGCCUAAAAGUCAGCAUGGUCGCUCUCAGACUUCCCACUACUGUUAUAAUUUAUUCGAGCGCGUUAUGUGUUCCAACUGGCAGUAGAAAACCUGAACGAAAGGUCAAUAAAGAAGAAACCAAGAAAUUGCUUACGACCAUAAAUCAUAGUAAUAUAAAUAUCCAUAGUCAAGGUAUGAAGUUAAAUACUAUCUUUAAUAAAUUAUUCUGAAAUCAUUUUUUUUUUUAAUAUUUCUUUUACUAUAUUUUUGUUAAAUUUUGUGAUUUUUUUAUGAUAGUAUUUUAUUUAUUGCAUAUAAUAAUUGUGUAUUGUUAUGGGUAUGUAGUUUAUUGAUCUAACUUGUGAGUUUGUGAAAUACUAGAAUACACACAUUUUAUUCUUUUUAAGAGUGAAAGUUUAUCACAAUUUUAUACAUAAUUAUAUCGUUUACCUCACAAAUUUUUAAAUAAGAUCAAACAUAAUUUAUCCAUUGUAUACAGAUGAAAUUGAUUUUCAGGGAGUUUUUUAUAUAAAUAAAAAAUAUUCUCAAACAUGUUUAAUAAGUUUUAUAUCAAGCUUUGUGGACUUCUCCUAAUAACAUUGGAAAAGUUUAUAAAAAAUAAUAUUAACAUCCUAACAAUAAAGAAAUAAGAUUGUAAAUAAUAAAUAAAAAAUAUUAUUAAGUUUUUACUAUAUAAAUAAAAUAAUUAUUUUGUAAGUAUAAUUUUUAUUUUUAAAGUUUUGAAAUAUUUUAAAAAAAACAUUAGAUAUGCAUAUGUUUUUAUGUUUAAAAUUUAUGAAUCUCAUAAAUUAUAAAUUUUAUAAAUAAAUAUAUUUUUUGAAUUAGUAAAAUAUAUUAUUGAUAAUAAUAAUAAUAAUAGCAUAUGAUUUUUAAUACUCAAAAUUUUAUUUUAUUUUGAGAAAAAAAUAGAUAUAGAUUUUCAUAAUAUUGUAUAUAGAUGUUUUUCAUAAUCAUAACAUAAAAAAUUUCGAAAACAUUAGUUAUUGAAAAUGUUAUUUUUCUUAAAAACAUAGCAAAUUUGUUUUUUUUUUUUCAAUUUCAAUUUUUUUUGAAAAAUUAAAAUUUUUCUUUUAUAAAACAUUUGUCUCGUUUAAAUUGAAUAAAUAGAUUUUAAUAUCUCAAAAAAUUAUUAUUUAUCAAUAAAAAUAUCACAAUUUUAAUUUUUAAAUUUAAUUAUAAUAUAUUGUUAGGUUAUCAGAGUGAUUUUUUAAGACGUCAAAGCAUAAUUUCUUAAAACGAAAAUCAGAAAAAAGAGAGUAAAGUUAGAUUAUAUAUAUAAUAAACUCUAACUACUUAUUUUCUUUCUCCAUCAUUCACUUGCCUGAACUUAUCUUUCACAUAAUUUAAUACUUUUCUUUCUAUUUACUCCUUUUUGCAAAAGUCAAGUCAGGCUGCUCUCGGACUUUUCCUGGAAGCUGUCCUAAUUAAUCGGCACUAAUGAUUUAUUUAUAGAAUUUUUUUUAUUAAUAUAAUAGGUUACUAUUUAUUAUGUUUUUAGAAUUUUUUAUGAAUAUGUAUAGUCUAUUUAUGUAUCAUUUUUGUUAAUAUAUGAGUUUUGGUCUAGUUCUUCAUAUUUAUGUUUUCUUUUUCUUUUUUUAAUAAUAUUUUUUUUCAUAUGAUGGCAAAUUAUUGUUGUUACUUGUUGAGGUGUUAACAUAACUGAGUGUCAAAUUGUAUAAUGAUGUCUAACAUGAAAACUUUUAUUUAAAAUUGUAUACAAUUCUUGAGAUGAUGAAUUUAAAAAUAAAUAUAUAUAAUAAAGGAUUCAUUUAUAAUUAAAUGAUAUAAAAAAAUAUUAAAAUAAUACUAUUAGAAAUUGUAAUGUGAUUGUAUAAAAAAUUGGAAUGAUAUAGAAAAUUGGGGGUGGUGAGUGUAUCAUUUUCCAACUCUUUCAGGAAAAUUAUAUAGAAUACCUCGUAUGAUAGUUUUUUAAAACAAUAUAUAAUAAAGAAAAAAUUUAUAAUAUAAAAAAUAAUUAAAAUAAUAAUAUUAAAAGUUAUAAAAAAAGAAAUUAUCAAUGUAUCAUGAUUCUAGACUAAUUUAAUUCUCUUACGAAAUUUACAAAUGUAACUCGAACGACUUGAAGUCAUCUAUGAUAAGAAGACAAAAUAUAUAUACCUAUAAAACUGUUCUAAUUUGUCAAAAUUAUUAAGAAGAAACCAAUAAAUUAUAAAUAUUAGGCAAUUCUAUCAAAAUCGUUGUAAUACACCUCUUGAAUCUUGAAGCAGACAGCAAGACACAAUGAUUCCGAAAUUGGUGAUCCAUUUCAUCAUUUUGGUAAUAUGGGAGGUAUCUGCACAAGGUGAGUUACCUGUAGCAAAGCCUGGCUGUGAUUCGCGAUGUGGAGAUGUUCCAAUUCCCUUUCCCUUUGGAAUGAAGAGUUCGGAGUGCUAUGCAGAAAAAUGGUUUGAAAUAGAAUGCAGAAACGCUUCCACAUAUACCCAUUACAGUCACACACCUUACCUCAAGUCAAUAGGACUGGAAGUGACAUCCAUUUAUGUCGAAGCAGGCACAGUUACUAUCAAGCAUCCUAUUUACCGUAGUAACUGCGGAUCCAAAGAUUCUCCGCCGGUCAACCAGUCGCUGGAAGGAAGCCCUUUCGUGUAUUCCCAAGAACGCAACAAAUUUGUGGCCGCAGGUUGUAACAGUAUUGCUAUUUUGAAGUUAAAUGGAUCAGAAGUUAGUGGUUGUGUGUCCACCUGCAACGAGAACUACAAGGUGGGUGAUAUCGGAAAUAUCGAGCUUAGAGAAAGUGAUUGUAAUGGGACGUCUUGCUGUGAAAGUUCCCUGCCAUCGUAUCUUAAAGAAUACAGCAUUGAAAUAAAAGGUUUAAAGGAGAAAGAAAGUAGUCAUGAGUGCAGUUACGCCAUGGUUGUACAGCAAAAUCCGUACUACAGCUACCGAUACUAUUCUUAUAAUGCUCCCAGAAGCUACUUUCCUGUGAAUGGUGUGAUGGAGGAUUUAGAUGUAGUCCCUGCGGUGCUUGAAUGGGAGAUUGUGAACAAUUUGAACCUUACACUUCCUUUAGAUCCUCUCUCUGAGUGUAUUGAUACUAAUGUUACAUCUUCACGAUAUAAACGUUCAGGUCAGAGAUGUUACUGCUUUGGUUCCGGUAAUCCCUACUUUGAGGGAGGUUGUCCAGCAGGUAAAUAUAUUAUUUCAACCCUACCUAAUUAUAAUUAUUAUACCUAUUACUUACUGCACUUAAAAAGCUUCUUCUUUCUAUGAUAAACCUCUGGGCGUCUAAUUUUGUUUACAUGCUUAAAAAGCCAGUUAUCAAAAUAAAAACAAUAAUAGCAGAUUUUAUCAAAAUAUUCUUCUUAAAACGUAAAAUUGUAAGAAGAUAAAAAAGAAAAACAAUUACAAAAAUUGAGAUUCUUUAUCAGCAUUCAUUUGUAUUGAAUAACAUUUUUAUAAUAUUUUAAACUUUAUUCUUCACAGUUUAUCGUCCGGAACACAGCAAAUCGAUAAGUGCCGUAAUAAAAGGUAUGUAUGAACUAUGAAGUGGUAAUAACUUAUAUGAUUUUUUUCUCUUAAUUAGGAACAUUGAUUAUCUUUAUAUAUUAAAAAUAUAAUAUUCACGCACGAGUAAAAUAAAUAAAAAAAGUGCGAAAAAUCAAUAAAUUAAAAAACAUAAAAAACAAAAAUUAUAAUGUUAAACCUUAUUCAUUUCCUUAAAAAAAAUGUAUAACUGAUUAUGUUAUUAAUAUAUCUUAUUCUAUAUGUGGUAAGUAAUGUUGUAAAUGUAACAUAUUAAUUGAAAGAUAAUAGUUUUAAUAUUAAUAUUCAAUGAAAAGAAAAAACGACCACAUCAAAUAGUUUCGUUAAAUAUCGUAUGUAAACUUGUCAAACCAACAACCCUCACAAUAUCAUGACUAAUUUAUUUUGUGACCUGCAUUGAAGAAACUCAUAUUAGGAAAUAAUAAAACUUAUUCUAGUGGAUAGUAAUCCAAAACAUUCUAAAUAAUUAUUGUAUGUUAUAUAUUUUUCAAUAAAAUUAUUUUUGUAAAAGUGGUUGAAAUUGACUUUAAAAGAUUCUUUACUGGAUAAUGAUAUUUUGAUAUUCAUAACAAAAACACCCACUUAACAACUCAAAAUAAUAAAAUUUAAAAUGCUAAUAUACAUUAUUACAUUAUUAAAGUGAUUGUAAAAUGGGUAUAUAAUAAUUUUCUUUACAAUUUUAAUGAACAAUUGUGAGAAUAAAAUUGAAAAAGUAAUUUUACACCACCGAAUGUAGCUACGAUAAAUUUGAUUAUUAAAUAAAAAUAUUUAUAUCUGACUUUUCCUUUAUUUUUUUUAUGUUUUUUCUUAUAAUAUGUAUUUUGAUAUUUGUUAUUUGACUGCAUAAAUCAACAUCGCUCUUGAACUUGCACUAUUUGUUAAGACGUACAUGACUUAUUCAGACCAUGUUUACUGUUUUGAAAAAAAAUCGCUAGUUAUAUCAACAUAGCACAUAAAUAAAGCAAGAUAUAACGUAAAUAAUUCAAUAAACCAAAUCAAACAAACAUUAUAGAUCUGUUGUGUGUAAGACUGUUUUCUCUUCUUUUUUUUUAAUUCUAAGAUUAUAUAAAAAUAUAUAUGUACGAACAUAAACAGUAAAAAUUCAAAUGUCACAAUAAAAUAGGUUUGUUAAUAUAUUUAACAAUGAAAGAAAAAUGAGUUAAGAGUGACUUUUAUUGAAUGAACAAUAUUCAAAUAAUUCAAAAUCGACUCAAAAUAUUUGAGUAACUUGAGUUAUUUAUUAUUUUUUCUUUAUUUUAAUGUCAUUAAUUAAAAAAAUUAACUAGAAGUUUUCAAUUUCCAUUAAAUAAGAUAUAUGAAUGUGAAAUAUAUUACAUUGUUAUGGGAGCUAAUGAGCUAGACCAACAGUCAUUGAUGUAAUGGAAAUUGGAAUUCUUUUUUCUUAAAGUAGGAUUUUGAACUUAAAUUGUAUUGAUAGAAAAAAAUAUGGUGGGAAAGGAAAUCUAUUAAAAAGUAAUUAUUCAUGUUCUUUGUAAAAUAUUAGUUAUCAUUAAAGUUGGUGAAUAUGCCAGUAAUAUAUUUAAAGUAAAGGUAAAUAGUAUCCUAGUAAUUAAUAUAAGUAUGAUUUAAAUUUGAAUAAAAAAAAUUACAAAAUUUAAUAUAUUUCAGUGGAUAUGAAUUAAGCUGUAAAUUUUGUGGGAUAAAUGAGGUUUGUAAAAAUUAAAGUCAAUUUAAGAUGUAAAUUAUUUUAGUACAUGUUUGUAUAAUAAAAGAGUUUUUUAUCGGAUCUCUUGGCAUACUUAAUUUUACUUGUGUGUCUUGGCAAUGUUAAUCCAUAACUAUGAUGAUCACUAUUAUACAUCAAUACUAUAGUUAAAAAGAUAUAUUUUUUUGUUAACUUAAAUUGUGUAUACUUUUUAAAUUAAAAUAUAGAUAUUUUGCUAUCAUACUAACCAAUCUUGGCAACAUCCUACUUAAGAAAAUGACUAUAACCUUUACUUGGCCAGUGGAUUCAGACUUGAUAUACUUCUCCACACUUGCAUAUGCCCUUUUCAUAUUUGGUAGAUACAUUAAAUAACUCCACACAUACAUACUGUUUAAUAAUAUCUUAUUUAAAUACUCUUAUGUGCUUAAGUUCUUUGCCAGGAAAAGUUUUCUAGACUUAGUUUAGCAUAUUGGGCUACUAAUUGAAUCCAACAAGCAAUAUAUUAUAAAUUUUUCUAAAUUUGUGUUAGUUUAAUCUUAAUUUUUAGACUUUCUAAAUGCUCAAAGUUGCAUAUAAGUGAGAAACACUUAUUUUAAUGUAUUGAUGUGGUAAAAUAUGUAGGAGUUUCUCUAAGCUUCGGAUCCAUCAUUUUACUCCUUAUUUUAUGGCGAGUGUUGAAGGGUACAAAAAAAACUAUUGUGGAAAAAUACAGAAAAAGAAUGUUCAAAAGAAAUGGAGGAUUAUUGUUACAACAAAGAUUGUCCUCUGGUGAAGUUAAUGUGGAUAAAGUUAAACUUUUCAGCUUAAAAGAGUUGGAGAAGGCAACAGAUAACUUCAACACGAAUAGAGUAGUUGGAAAAGGAGGUCAAGCUACUGUUUACAAAGGCAUGCUGAUAAAUGGAACCAUUAUUGCAGUGAAAAAAUUUAAGAUCCAAGGAAAAAUAGAAGAAUUCAUCAAUGAAUUUGUCAUUCUGUCACAAAUUAACCACAGAAACGUGGUCAAGUUGUUAGGAAGUUGUUUGGAGACUAAAAUUCCUUUGCUUGUUUAUGAAUUCAUUCCUAAUGGUAACCUUUUUGAGUACUUGCAUCAACAAAAUGAAGAUUUGCCAAUGACAUGGGACAUUCGUUUGAGAAUUGCCACUGAGGUUGCUGGAGCUUUGUUUUACUUGCACUCUGCUGCUUCUCAGCCUAUUUAUCAUAAAGAUAUCAAGUCAACAAAUAUACUUUUGGAUGAAAAGUAUAGAGCAAAAGUAGCAGACUUUGGUACAUCUAGAAUGAUUUCCAGUGAUGUUACUCACCUUACUACAGUAGUUCAAGGAACAUUUGGAUACUUGGACCCUGAAUAUUUUCAAACUAGUCAAUUCACAGAAAAAAGUGACGUCUACAGCUUUGGAGUAGUUCUUGUUGAACUCUUAACAGGGAAAAAGCCAAUAACCCACACAACUUCAGAGGAAGCCAAAAGUUUAGCUUCAUAUUUCAUCAUGUGCGUGGAGAAAGAUUGUGUAUUUGAUAUUAUUGAUGAAAGGGUGAUGAAGGAAGGGGAGAAAAAUCAUAUCAUGGAAGUUGUCAAUCUUGCAAAUAGAUGUUUAGAGCUUAAUGGAAAGAGACGACCAACUACGAAGGAAGUCACAUUAGAAUUAGAAAGUAUUCGAAAAUUGGAAGGAAAGUCAAAUGCACAAGAAAGACAUAAUGAACUUGUUAGAAGUGAAGACUAUCAAUCUUGGGAUGAUUAUUCUACUAUCUUAGAAAUAAGGUCAGCUUUUGAUCAAAGUAGCAGAACACCAACCUUGGAAGAUAUUCAUAUUCGUACCAUAUAAUGGGUAAGUAUUUUUAAUUUUUGUGUUAAAUAAAAUUAUUUUGGUUAAAUAAUAAGUAUAUAACCUUCAAUAAAAUUUUGAAGGUUUUUUUUAAGGUUAUACUUGAACAUUGUGAUUAUACGUCAAAUAUGAUUAUUGAUAAGUUUUCCUGUGUAUAUUAGAUUGUAUAUGAUGUAUACAACGAUUGCACAUAUGCACUAAUGUUUGUGGCGGUUGUAUUCAGAUGGUGAGGCUAUUGAGUUCAUGAAGGUUCGCAGAGCAGCUAAGGGCAUUUGACUCCUUCAUUAUGAAGACUAUCACAUAGGAUAUACUUAGUGGUUGUGGUUUCCCAAUGUUUUUUUUUUCAGUAUGGAUGGUGUUGCUUAUUCUUUUGGCUAAAAGGAUGCAGCGAACAUUCCUAGCAACAAUUGUGUAGGAUAUUGGUAUGCAUAAGAGAUUUUGGUUUUCUUUAGUUAUAUUUCUUUUUAAUGUAGAAUUAUGAUAUAUUGACAACUUAUUAUCUUUUAUAAUAAUAUAUUUGUGAAAUUACAUUAUGUUUUUCAUUAUUAUAUAAUUCAUGUGUUUGUUGGAAGAGGAAAGACACAUGAAAUUGUUGAUUUAUUCUUAUAGAUGGAAAGGAAAGCUUUGUGGCCAAAAGAAGUGAUUGUGUGAUAGUUGUUCUUGUAAAUUGUGUUGAUUUAGGGGACAUAGAGUUUGGUAGAAGUGAUCAUGGAUUCAUAAAGACUUCAAGCCACUUAAGAUUUUUAUACUAAGGAAAAAAAAACUCUUAAAACACAAAUUAUGUGUACAAGAUGAAUCAUUAAUUGAUACAAUCAAACUCAAUCAUCAGAUCAUAUAAUCAAACAAAUCCAUCAUCAUAUAGUACAUCGGUCGAAGCAUCACAUAAUAACUCAAUUUGAAUCAUGACAUAAUACUUUAGUUUGAACAUAAAAUAAUAGAUAAUGAGAUGAUGUUCUAUCGUAAUAAACAAAUUUUGAGUCCAUUUUAACUGAUAUCGUACUAAAAGUUGGUGUCCGUUUUGAAUCGCAUGAAUCCAUUCUGCAUUUUGUAGGCACCUAUCUCAUAUAAUAGAAUUAUGCAUAACUUAACAAAAGAAGAGUUUUAUCGGGCCACAAGAAAACGAAAAGAUGAACCAGAUAAAAUAUUAAUCUUCAUCAAAUUGAAGUAGUAGAUAUCAAGUUUAUCACAACUGAAAUUAAUGAUAGCAUAUCUAUUUGGAUAUAUAUAGAAGUAUGAUUCUUUUAUGAAGAUAAUUUGCUACCACCACUCACUCUUUUCUUGGCUAUUACGUUUUAAUGAUCUCAAUAUUUUAUGUUACAUUAUAAGUAAUCACGGAUGAAAAAUAUAUUUAUAAUAAUAAUAUAUUUUACUCAGGAACCACCACCAGGAGGUUUACUUAAGGAAUUCAUAAUUCCACCAAAAAGAUAAUGGUACCNNNNNNNNNNNNNNNNNNNNNNNNNNNNNNNNNNNNNNNNNNNNNNNNNNNNNNNNNNNNNNNNNNNNNNNNNNNNNNNNNNNNNNNNNNNNNNNNNNNNNNNNNNNNNNNNNNNNNNNNNNNNNNNNNNNNNNNNNNNNNNNNNNNNNNNNNNNNNNNNNNNNNNNNNNNNNNNNNNNNNNNNNNNNNNNNNNNNNNNNNNNNNNNNNNNNNNNNNNNNNNNNNNNNNNNNNNNNNNNNNNNNNNNNNNNNNNNNNNNNNNNNNNNNNNNNNNNNNNNNNNNNNNNNNNNNNNNNNNNNNNNNNNNNNNNNNNNNNNNNNNNNNNNNNNNNNNNNNNNNNNNNNNNNNNNNNNNNNNNNNNNNNNNNNNNNNNNNNNNNNNNNNNNNNNNNNNNNNNNNNNNNNNNNNNNNNNNNNNNNNNNNNNNNNNNNNNNNNNNNNNNNNNNNNNNNNNNNNNNNNNNNNNNNNNNNNNNNNNNNNNNNNNNNNNNNNNNNNNNNNNNNNNNNNNNNNNNNNNNNNNNNNNNNNNNNNNNNNNNNNNNNNNNNNNNNNNNNNNNNNNNNNNNNNNNNNNNNNNAAGAGUAAGCUAUUAAAACUACUCCCAGGAAGAGCUUUAUGGACCUUCAGAAGUAAGUAGAAAGAAAUAUUAAGAAACACAACAAAACAUGGGCAAAAAAGACAUUAGUCAAAUAUAUUGUCAUUAAUAGCAGAAUUGUUGAGGAACAAUGUUGAUUGAGAAACAUUCUUACAGCAUCCAAUAUGUCUUUAAGUGGUGGAUAAUCAUCCCAAGAAUAUGCAUGCGGCUGAUAUCCACUGUAAGUCAACUCAGUCAAACCUGGAGUUGCAACAUAACAUGUGUCUCGAGGCUGUAGAGAAUUACAUUAAAUGGCAUUAGAAUCUUUUGGUUCAUCUAUCCUAUCCAUAUACAAGAGAGUACUCUGUAAGUUAUGAUUCAUCUUAUGUUAGGACUUAAGCACAAGUGGAGAACCCAACCCAAUAAACUAGUUCCUUAGAAGGAAGAGUCUACCACAUCAAAUAGUUCAUCCUACUCAUAUGAGACUCCUAACAUCUUAUGUCAGAAUUGUGUGGUUAUUAUUCUCUUCACUCCUCGGUUACAAGAACAUGUACGAGGAAUUCACUAGUUGAAGACCCUGCUCAAAAAUUUUUAAAGAAAUUUUUAAAAGGAAAAGAUUUUUAAACUAUAAUAACAAAUCAGAAAAUCAAACCUAUAUAAAAAAUGAACAUUUGUUACACUAAUUGCGUAAGAACAGGGGCGUAUUUUCAAACUAGAUUGAUGGCUAAUAGUUUUUUCUUUUCUAUUCUAAACACCAAACCCCAGACUCCAAACUCUAAACGACAAAAGAUGAAAUUUUGUGGAAUCCCACGUUCCAGAAUGGGUAGAAUUUGAAAGAAACGUGGGAACGAUAUGAACCUGAAGGAAGGAUUUUCCGAAGACGCGAAUGGUGGGUCUGGUCCAUGGAAUGUGUUUGUCGAGAUAUUGGAACCAUUUCCAUGACUGAUCGGAGGUUAUUAACCGCUGAAUGUAUACGACGUCGCUUCCAUUUCCAAGAUCCACCGUUUCCCUUUUCACACUCUCCUCAGGUUCUCCUCCGGCAUCAAAUAACAAAUUGGUUUAACAUUAUUCAGCAUCAAAUAACUAGUCUAUAUUAAAAAUUCUUUUAUUAUUUGAACAAUACGUAAAUUUAUUUAACACCAUUUACAUUUUUAUUUUCUUAACUAUUACUCUUUUAUUUUUAUUUUUCUAUCUAGCACUUUUUUUUUUUUUCUAUCUAGUAUUUUUUUGUUUUUUAUUUUUCUAUCUAUAACCAUUUUAAAAAUAAAUAAAUAAAUAAUUUUUUUUAUAAUUUUAAUUUUAAAAACAUUAAAAAUAAGUAUUUUUAAUUUUUAAAGUAGUUAAAAAUAUAAUUAAUAAAUAAAUAAAUGAUUUUUUACAAAAUAAAAAAAGUAAUAAAUUAAAAAUGUUUAGUUAAAAUUAUUUUUUAAGAAUGAAGAAAAUAAAAAAUUAAACUCUACAACAACAUAAAAGUUGAAUCUAUAAACAUAAAUUAAUAUUUAUUAUUAUUAUUAUUGAUGAUGUAAUCAUGUUAAUUUCAAGUAAAAAAUACAGGACAUAAUUAUAAAAAAACUAAAGUCAAUUAGUAUUAAUUAAUAGUGGACACACAAAUAAUAUUGAAGUGUCUACUCUAAAUGCAAAAUUCUAAAAAAAAACUAAUGCAAAUGCUAGACUUAAUGCUUAAAAAUGAGAAGAAAAAAAUGCAAAAAUAAAUAAGUAUAGAAAAUAAAAACAACAAUAAUAAAAUAAAAACAAAAAUAAAUAAACAAUGGCAAAAAAAAUAAUAACUAAAAACAUAUAAGAUAUAAAAUAAAGGCAAAACAAAAUAAGAUAAAUAUACAAGAUAUAAAAAAAAAAAUCCAAACAAGAUAACGAUAAGAGAUAUAAGACGAUACUAAAUAAGUAGAUGUUGAUCAUAAAAAGAAAAAUAAAUGAAAGAUGAUCAUUCAUUUAAUAUUUUCUUCAAUGGUACAUUAAAUAGUUUGUGCGAAAUGAAACAUAAUUAAUGACGAGAAAAACAAAAUCCAAUAAUAUUGGGACAUGUUCUUUUUGUGUGUCCGGUUGUUUGACGACAAUAUGAACAUUUUUUUAUUCAAUCAUGUUGUUCUUUUAUGUUCAUAUUAGUCCUUAUUCGACUUGACUUAGGUCUCCUCUUUGAGGUUAUUUUCAUGUCGGGACUGGGACAUAGUAUUUGACCAGUGUAUGCAGGCCAAUACUCUUCAUUUCUGAGUUUCAUCAAGUAGUCUUUCGUAAAAUGAAAGAUCUGUUGCAAUGUUGCUGAUUUUAUUUUAUAUAUUUAUUUUACAUUUUUUUUUCUUUUCAUUUGUAAGCAUUAAGUGUAGCAAUUGCAUUAGUUUUUUUUUUAGGAUUUUGCAUUUAGGGUAGACACUUCAAUAUUAUUUGUGCGUUCAAUAUUAAUUAAUACUAAUUAACUUUAAUUUUUUUAUAAUUAUAUCCUGUAUUUUUAUUUGAAAUUAACAUGAUUACAUCAUCAAUAAUAAUAAAAAUAAAUACUAAUUUAUGUUUAUAAAUUCAACUUUUAUGUUGUUGUAGAGUUUAAUUUUUUAUUUUCUUCAUUCUUAAAAAAAAUUUAAACUAAACAUUUUUAAAUUUAUUACUUUUUUAUUUUUAUUUUGUAAAUCUCAUUUAUUUAUUCAUUAAUUAUAUUUCUAACUAUUUUAAACAUUAAAAUACUUAUUUUUUAAUGUAUUCAAAAUUAAAAUUAUAAAAAAAAAUUAAUUUAUUAUUUAUUUAUUUAUUUUUGAAAUGGUGCUAAAUAGGGAAAUAAAAAAUAAAAUGGUGCUAGAUAGAGAAAUAAAAACAAAAGGAUACUAGAUAGGGAAAUAAAAACAAAAGGGUGCUAGAUAGGGAAAUAAAAGUGUAAAUGGUGCUAGAUAUGGAAUUGAGCCACAAUAUUACAAAUAUUCAGGAAAUAAAAUUUAAAUAAAAAUCAAUUUUACGUGCAUAAAAAUGAAAAACAAAUUUAAUCAUAUUAUAAUUCACUAUUAUUAAUGUUGAGUAGUUAAGUUGUUUGUUACUAUUGUUUUUCCAAAGGUUUAGCUCAGCGUUUUAAAUUAUAUAAUCUAUAUUAUAACUUCUAUUUAGGUUUGUAGUGAUAAAAAAUGGCAAUAUGCAAAAAUGGGUUGUGAAAUACAAAUUGACCCUUUUCCAUUCUGCAAGAUUCCAACAAGCCAUGAUUGAUAUAACAUUCCACAGUAAAUAUGAGUGUCUUACCGAAUUAGAAGUAACUUUUAAGUCUAUAAUAAAAGGAAACAAAUUACAAAGAACAAUUAAAAAGAAAAAAUUAUAAUAUAUAUUUAUUUAUAGCUUGAAAUUUUAAUUAUAUAUAUAUAUAUAUUUCUGCUCCAACCUUUUUUCAUGUCUUCCUUUCUCUCUAUAUUAACUUGCGUAGAGGAGGAGAGAAAUAAUUGUAAUACAUUGAAUACACUUUCACACAAAAUAUUAUUUCUUAGUAAAAAAUACCUAAUUAAUUUAAGUUAUUAAUCUUGAAUUAAAUAAAAAUAUGAGAUUAAGAGUAAUUAUUAUAUACAUUGGUUCACUUAGUGUUUGUGUGUGAGUUUUAAAGAGAUCUUAAAUAAGUCUACUUUACAAUGAAUUUAAUCAAUUUAUAUAUAUAUAAAAAAUCUUCAUAAAAAAUGUCAUUAUAUUAAUUUUCUUACCGCGAAUUUUCGUGAAUUCAUCCGUCCAGUUACAUAAUUAUUGUUUACCUCACAAAUUUUUAAAUAGGAUCAAAAUAAUUUAUCAUCGAAUACAGCUGAAAUUGAUUUUUAGAGAGUUUUUAUAUAAAUAGAAAUUAUUCUCAAACAUGUUUAAUAAAUUUUAAAUAUUUCUUACUUUAGUUUAAAUCAACAAUUCAAGUUAUCAAAACGAGAUAAAUGUUUGGGGCCUUCUCCUAAUAAUUUAUAUGCCCAUCUCCCAAUAAUUUAUGAAAAACUUUUAAAAAAGUGCCUAUUAACAUUCUAAGUAAAUUAACAGUAAAAAAUAUAUUAUUAAAUUUUUAUUAUAGGAAUAAAAUAAUUAUUUCAUAAAUUUAUAACUUUCAUUUUUCAAGAUUUUCAAUUUUUGAAUUAUUUUAAAGAAACAUCAUGUAUGUGUAUAUUUUUAUGUUUGAAAGUUAUAAAUCCCACAAAUUAUAAAUUUUAUAUAUAAAUAAAUUUGUUGAAUUGAUAAAAUAUAUUAUUAAUUAAUAAUAAUGUUAAUAGCAUAUUAUUUUUAAUACUCAAAAUUUCAUUUUAUUUCAAAAAAAAAUUCAUAUAUUGUAUAUCAAUGUUUUUUUUGAAAAUCAUAACAUAAAAAAUUUCGAUUAGUUAUUGAAUUUUUUUUGAAAAAUUAAAUUAUGCGUGUCUCGUCUAAAUUCUGAAUUGAAUAAAUAGACUUUAAUGUCUGAAAAAAUUAAUAACUUAUCAAUUAAAAUAUCAAAUUUCUAAUUAUAUUUUUUAAUUUAAGUAUAAUAUACUGUUAUAUUAUUAAAAUAAGGUUAUCAGAGUGGUUUUCUAAGACGUCAAAGUAUAAUUUCUUAAAACGAAAAUCAGAAAAAAAAUUGAAGUUAGAUAACAAUAAAUAUAUAUAUAUAUAUAAAUAUAUAUAUAUAUAUAUAUAUAUACGCGUGUAAUGUAAAAUAUAUACUGAUUAGGAAAAUACAUGAUGGAAAGGUCGAGACAUCAAAGGUCAUUAUCAUACUAAAGAUAAGUGAAAUAAAAAAUAAAUAAAGAAAUAGUAAAAUUCCAUAUCAAGAAAUAACAAAUAAGCUCAAAACAUUAAGAUUAUAUUUAGUAAUUAUAAGGUAUAAAAAGUAAGGCUUCUUCUUCCUGCACCCAAAAUUUUGUAAAUCCCAAAACUGACCUUCACCUUUUAUUUAAAAAAAAAACUAAAGUUUUUUAGGUUACCGGAUAUUGGGAUCUGGGAGUGUGUUACGGAUUUAUCAAUCCGGGAUAGUGCUACGGAUUCAUCAAUCCGGAAGUGAUUCGUGUUCUUUUUCAAAUAAAGGGGUGUUUCGAAAGCAACUUGUUGAUUUCUGGAUUGCUGAAUCCAGAAGUCUAAUUUUUGUUACGGAUUGAUGGAUUCGAAAGAUUACCGAAUUCACCAAUCCAUAAGAUUUAUGGAUUUCUCAAUCCAGAAUGCAAAAAAAUUAAAUAAGGAUUUCCUAUUCCGUAAAAUUACCGAAUUGCAUUGUCUGAAAGAAUAAAGAGUAGUGUGAGUCUUAUGUGUAUUUUGUAAUUUUAAAAAAAUAAUAGGGAUAUUUUUGUCUUUGCAUUACAUUGUGGGAGUGCAGGAAGAAACUGCCAAGAAGUAAAAUCCAAUAAAAUUGAUAAAGCCCAAUCACAAAUUUUAUAAAUAAGUGAUUUGAUUAACAGGUAAUUAAUUUUUUUUUAUAAAAGAUUACAACUUAAUCCAAUUAAUUCUGAUUUUAUCAUCAAAACACUUUUACAAAUUUAUCCGACCAGAGGAGUCAAAGUCCAUGUAACCGAGAGAGCUCAAAUAAACUAGAUCAAUAUUGAAAGUCAAAAUCAUUUGCAAGUACAUGGGAAAUAGAAGUGUAGAAGUUAUUUUAAUUCGUAUUAAGCUCCAUAAAUAUAAAAUUAAAUAAAUUAUAAAACAUUAGGGAAGGAGCGUAUUCCUUUUGGUGUAUGGUGCAUCCAAGUAAAGGUUGGAACAUCUCUUUUAUUUCUCCAUAUAACAAACUACAAAAUUUCUAACUAUUUAUUUUCUUUGUCUUCCAUUCAUUUGCCUGAACUUAUCUUUCACAUAAUCUAAUAUUUUUCUAUUUGCUCCUUUUUCAAAAGUCAAAUCAAGCUGCUCUCAGACUUUUCCUGGAAGCUGCGAUAAUUAAACGGUUGACUGUUUCAGAGUUACUUGAAAACAAAACAUUAGUUUGUUGUUAAAAUUUUAUGAACUUUUGUUGCGAAGCAUUUUAUACUGAAGAUGCUCUUACGUGUAUGAUUAUUUUCCAAGCUCGAAUUCAAAUAGACUAAAAUGCAAAAGAACAAAAUUAUGUUGUUUUUAAAUCAUUAACGAUAUCUUUUAAAAUAUUACAUUGUUUUUAUAUCAGCUCUUGGAACAACAUUCACAAUUAAUCGAUCAUUUUGUUUCUAUUUUGUUGUUGUUUAGCAUUUGGAACCAUCGACAAUCUAAUAUUAAUUAAGCAAUCCAGUCAAAAUAAUAGUAAUAUAAACACCCAUAUAUCCUGCUAUGAAGUUGGAGGCUUGCACAAACACUUCUUGAAUCUUGAAUCUUGAAGCAGCCAACAAGACACAAUGAUUCUGAAAUUCCUAAUCCAUUUCAUCAUUUUGGCAAUAUGGAAGGUAUCUGCACAAGUUGGGCUAUCUGUUGGGAAGCCUGGCUGUGAUUGGCGAUGUGGAAAUGUUCCAAUUCCCUUUCCCUUUGGAAUGAAGAGUUUUGAGUGCUAUGCAGGAAAAUGGUUUGAAAUAGAAUGCAGAAAUUCCACAUACACCAACUACACUCACACACCUUACCUCAAGUCAAUCGGAGUGGAAGUGAUAUCCAUUAAUCUCCAAUUAGGCACGGUUAAUAUCAAAAAUCCCAUUUACCGUAGUAACUGCGGAUCCAAAGAUUCUCCGCCGGUGAACAAGUCGCUGGAAGGAAGCCCUUUCGUGUAUUCCCAGAAAUACAACAAAUUUAUGGCUGCAGGUUGUAAUAUUAUUGCUAUUUUGCAGUUAAAUAGGUCAGAAGUUAGUGGUUGCGUGUCCAUCUGCGACGAGAACUACAAGGUGGGUGAUAUCGGAAAAAUGGACUUUAGAAAGAGUGAUUGUAAUGGGAAGUCUUGCUGUGACAGCUCCCUGCCACUGUAUCUUAAAGAAUACAGCACUGAAAUAAAAGGUUUAAAGGAUAAUGAAACGAGUGAUGAGUGCAGUUACGCCAUGGUUGUACAGCAACAUCUGGCCUACAGCUACCGAUCCUCUUCUUAUAAUGAUCCCAAAACCUACUACUUUAUUAUGGAUGGUGAGAUGAAGGAUUUAGAUGUGGUCCCUGUGGUGCUUGAAUGGGAGAUUCUGAACAAUUUGAACCUUACACUCCCUUUGGAUCAUCUCUCCCACUGUGAUGAUACCAAUGUUACAUCAUCUUCAGGAUAUAAACGUUCAGGUCAGAGAUGUUACUGCCAAACUGGUUCCGUUUCCGGCGGUAAUCCCUACGUUGAGGGAGGUUGUCCAGGUAAAUAUAUUAUUGCAACCCUAAACCCUAAUUAUUAUUAUUAUUAUACCUAUUACUUACUCAAGAUAAGUUAAAAAGCUUUUUUUUUUUUAAUCAUAAACCACUGGACGUCUAAUUCUUUUACAUGCUAAUUAAAAGCUGGCAGUUAUCAAAAUAUUCUUAUAUAAAAUUGUAAGAAGAUAAAAAAGAAAAACAAUUACAGAAAUUGAUGUUUUUUAUAUAACAAAAAAUAUAUAUAAACAAAUAAGAUUACUAAAAUAAUCUUAUCUUUCUAUAAAUAUAUUUCCUGCAUCCCACGGACAUACGACUUAAUUCACUAUUUAUAUCAAAUUUGCUAUAUCAUUAUUCGUUCCUACAGACUGCGGUAUAAAAAAUAAUUUAGAGAUAUUUUGAGAAUAAAAAUUAAUAUUUAUUUAAAAAUGAAAGAAAAAAAAAACCAUAUAUCACAUAAAAAUAAAUAAUUUGAUGCAUUUUUUAAACAGUUCUUAUUUGCUGUUUUUUACUCUAAUCUUUUAUUAUUAUUUAAACAUUAUUAUAAAUAUUUUAAACUUUAUUCUUCACAUUUCAGACUAUUAUCCCAACUACAGGAAGUCUCCCAGACCAUCCAUCACAAAAGGUUUGUAUGAAUUGUGAAGUGGUUAAUAAUUUUUAUGAUUAUUUUCUUAAUUAGGAACAUUGAUUAUCGUUAUAUAUUAAAAAUCUACUAUUUACACACGAGUAAAAAAAUGAAAAUGCGAAAAUCAAUAAAUUAAAAAACACUAAAAAAAUGGUAAUGUGAGUGUCGUUAUAAAAUCACAUUAAGACACGUGUUAAAAACAUUGUUAUUUAGCCAAAUAAAUAAUUAAAAAUUAAAAAAAUAGCACUUAUAAUGACAAAUCUAGUGGGGAAUCA
rnacentral:lncRNA from 1 species